GACGAACGCUGGCGGCGUGCUUAACACAUGCAAGUCGAACGGUGAUGCUCCAGCUUGCUGGAGUGGAUCAGUGGCGAACGGGUGAGUAACACGUGAGCAACCUGCCCCAGACUCUGGAAUAAGCGCUGGAAACGGCGUCUAAUACUGGAUACGAAACUGGCCCGCAUGGGCAUGGUUUGGAAAGUUUUUCGGUUUGGGAUGGGCUCGCGGCCUAUCAGCUUGUUGGUGAGGUAAUGGCUCACCAAGGCGACGACGGGUAGCCGGCCUGAGAGGGCGACCGGCCACACUGGGACUGAGACACGGCCCAGACUCCUACGGGAGGCAGCAGUGGGGAAUAUUGCACAAUGGGCGAAAGCAUGAUGCAGCGACGCCGCGUGAGGGAUGACGGCCUUCGGGUUGUAAACCUCUUUCAGCAGGGAAGAAGCGAAAGUGACGGUACCUGCAGAAGAAGCACCGGCUAACUACGUG
rnacentral:rRNA from 1 species